AGGACGAACGCUGGCGGCGUGCUUAACACAUGCAAGUCGAGCGGUAAGGCCUUUCGGGGUACACGAGCGGCGAACGGGUGAGUAACACGUGGGUGAUCUGCCCUGCACUUCGGGAUAAGCCUGGGAAACUGGGUCUAAUACCGGAUAUGACUUCAGGUUGCAUGACUUGGGGUGGAAAGAUUUAUCGGUGCAGGAUGGGCCCGCGGCCUAUCAGCUUGUUGGUGGGUAAUGGCCUACCAAGGCGACG
rnacentral:rRNA from 1 species